UACGUAGGGACCAAGCGUUGUUCGGAUUUACUGGGCGUAAAGGGCGCGUAGGCGGCGUGACAAGUCACUUGUGAAAUCUCCGGGCUUAACCCGGAGCGGCCAAGUGAUACUGUCGUGCUAGAGUGCGGAAGGGGCUACUGGAAUUCUCGGUGUAGCGGUGAAAUGCGUAGAUAUCGAGAGGAACACCUGCGGCGAAGGCGGGUAGCUGGGCCGACACUGACGCUGAGGCGCGAAAGCCAGGGGAGCGAACGGG
rnacentral:rRNA from 1 species